GUGGGGAAUAUUGGACAAUGGGCGCAAGCCUGAUCCAGCCAUGCCGCGUGAGUGAUGAAGGCCUUAGGGUUGUAAAGCUCUUUCAGUGGGGACGAUAAUGACGGUACCCACAGAAGAAGCCCCGGCUAACUUCGUGCCAGCAGCCGCGGUAAUACGAAGGGGGCUAGCGUUGUUCGGAUUUACUGGGCGUAAAGCGCACGUAGGCGGAUCGUUAAGUCGGGGGUGAAAUCCUGGAGCUCAACUCCAGAACUGCCUUCGAUACUGGCGCGCGUGAGUCCGGAAGAGGUGAGUGGAACUCCUAGUGUAGAGGUGGAAUUCGUAGGUAUUAGGAAGAACACCAGUGGCGAAGGCGGCUCACUGGUCCGGUACUGACGCUGAGGUGCGAAAGCGUGGGGAGCAAACAGGAUUAGAUACCCGAGUAGUCC
rnacentral:rRNA from 1 species